rnacentral:rRNA from 2 species
GGGUUGUGAGGUUAAGCGACUAAGCGUACACGGUGGAUGCCCUGGCAGUCAGAGGCGAUGAAGGACGUGCUAAUCUGCGAAAAGCGUCGGUAAGGUGAUAUGAACCGUUAUAACCGGCGAUGUCCGAAUGGGGAAACCCAGUGCAAUUCGUUGCACUAUCGUUAACUGAAUACAUAGGUUAACGAGGCGAACCGGGGGAACUGAAACAUCUAAGUACCCCGAGGAAAAGAAAUCAACCGAGAUUCCCCCAGUAGCGGCGAGCGAACGGGGAGCAGCCCAGAGUCUGAAUCAGCUUGUGUGUUAGUGGAACGGUCUGGAAAGUCCGACGGUACAGGGUGAUAGUCCCGUACACCAAAAUGCACAGGCUGUGAACUCGAAGAGUAGGGCGGGACACGUGGUAUCCUGUCUGAAUAUGGGGGGACCAUCCUCCAAGGCUAAAUACUCCUGACUGACCGAUAGUGAACCAGUACCGUGAGGGAAAGGCGAAAAGAACCCCGGCGAGGGGAGUGAAAAAGAACCUGAAACCGUGUACGUACAAGCAGUGGGAGCACCUUCGGGUGUGACUGCGUACCUUUUGUAUAAUGGGUCAGCGACUUAUAUUCUGUAGCAAGGUUAACCGUAUAGGGGAGCCGCAGGGAAACCGAGUCUUAACUGGGCGUUAAGUUGCAGGGUAUAGACCCGAAACCCGGUGAUCUAGCCAUGGGCAGGUUGAAGGUUGGGUAACACUAACUGGAGGACCGAACCGACUAAUGUUGAAAAAUUAGCGGAUGACUUGUGGCUGGGGGUGAAAGGCCAAUCAAACCGGGAGAUAGCUGGUUCUCCCCGAAAGCUAUUUAGGUAGCGCCUCGUGAAUUCAUCUUCGGGGGUAGAGCACUGUUUCGGCUAGGGGGUCAUCCCGACUUACCAACCCGAUGCAAACUACGAAUACCGAAGAAUGUUAUCACGGGAGACACACGGCGGGUGCUAACGUCCGUCGUGAAGAGGGAAACAACCCAGACCGCCAGCUAAGGUCCCAAAGUCAUGGUUAAGUGGGAAACGAUGUGGGAAGGCACAGACAGCCAGGAUGUUGGCUUAGAAGCAGCCAUCAUUUAAAGAAAGCGUAAUAGCUCACUGGUCGAGUCGGCCUGCGCGGAAGAUGUAACGGGGCUAAACCAUGCACCGAAGCUGCGGCAGCGACACUAUGUGUUGUUGGGUAGGGGAGCGUUCUGUAAGCCUGCGAAGGUGACCUGUGAGGGUUGCUGGAGGUAUCAGAAGUGCGAAUGCUGACAUAAGUAACGAUAAAGCGGGUGAAAAGCCCGCUCGCCGGAAGACCAAGGGUUCCUGUCCAACGUUAAUCGGGGCAGGGUGAGUCGACCCCUAAGGCGAGGCCGAAAGGCGUAGUCGAUGGGAAACAGGUUAAUAUUCCUGUACUUGGUGUUACUGCGAAGGGGGGACGGAGAAGGCUAUGUUAGCCGGGCGACGGUUGUCCCGGUUUAAGCAUGUAGGCUGGUUAUCCAGGCAAAUCCGGAUAAUCAAGGCUGAGGUGUGAUGACGAGGCACUACGGUGCUGAAGUAACAAAUGCCCUGCUUCCAGGAAAAGCCUCUAAGCAUCAGGUAACAUCAAAUCGUACCCCAAACCGACACAGGUGGUCAGGUAGAGAAUACCAAGGCGCUUGAGAGAACUCGGGUGAAGGAACUAGGCAAAAUGGUGCCGUAACUUCGGGAGAAGGCACGCUGGUGUGUAGGUGAAGUCCCUGCGGAUGGAGCUGAGACCAGUCGAAGAUACCAGCUGGCUGCAACUGUUUAUUAAAAACACAGCACUGUGCAAACACGAAAGUGGACGUAUACGGUGUGACGCCUGCCCGGUGCCGGAAGGUUAAUUGAUGGGGUUAUCCGUAAGGAGAAGCUCUUGAUCGAAGCCCCGGUAAACGGCGGCCGUAACUAUAACGGUCCUAAGGUAGCGAAAUUCCUUGUCGGGUAAGUUCCGACCUGCACGAAUGGCGUAAUGAUGGCCAGGCUGUCUCCACCCGAGACUCAGUGAAAUUGAACUCGCUGUGAAGAUGCAGUGUACCCGCGGCAAGACGGAAAGACCCCGUGAACCUUUACUAUAGCUUGACACUGAACAUUGAGCCUUGAUGUGUAGGAUAGGUGGGAGGCUUUGAAGCGUGGACGCCAGUCUGCGUGGAGCCAACCUUGAAAUACCACCCUUUAAUGUUUGAUGUUCUAACGUUGGCCCCUUACCGGGGUUGCGGACAGUGUCUGGUGGGUAGUUUGACUGGGGCGGUCUCCUCCCAAAGCGUAACGGAGGAGCACGAAGGUUAGCUAAUCCUGGUCGGACAUCAGGAGGUUAGUGCAAUGGCAUAAGCUAGCUUGACUGCGAGCGUGACGGCGCGAGCAGGUGCGAAAGCAGGUCAUAGUGAUCCGGUGGUUCUGAAUGGAAGGGCCAUCGCUCAACGGAUAAAAGGUACUCCGGGGAUAACAGGCUGAUACCGCCCAAGAGUUCAUAUCGACGGCGGUGUUUGGCACCUCGAUGUCGGCUCAUCACAUCCUGGGGCUGAAGUAGGUCCCAAGGGUAUGGCUGUUCGCCAUUUAAAGUGGUACGCGAGCUGGGUUUAGAACGUCGUGAGACAGUUCGGUCCCUAUCUGCCGUGGGCGCUGGAGAAUUGAGGGGGGCUGCUCCUAGUACGAGAGGACCGGAGUGGACGCAUCACUGGUGUUCGGGUUGUCAUGCCAAUGGCACUGCCCGGUAGCUAAAUGCGGAAGAGAUAAGUGCUGAAAGCAUCUAAGCACGAAACUUGCCCCGAGAUGAGUUCUCCCUGAGACUUUAAGUCUCCUGAAGGAACGUUAAAGACGAUGACGUUGAUAGGCCGGGUGUGUAAGCGCAGCGAUGCGUUGAGCUAACCGGUACUAAUGAACCGUGAGGCUUAACCUUACAACGCCGAAG